rnacentral:tRNA from 1 species
GGUUCAGUAGCUCAGUUGGAUAGAGCAACAGCCUUCUAAGCUGUGGGUCUUGGGUUCGAAUCCCAACUGAAUCA